CGGAGGGUGCGAGCGUUGUCCGGAAUCACUGGGCGUAAAGGGCGCGUAGGUGGCCGAGCAAGGUCGCGGUGAAAGCUUGGGGCUCAACCCCAAGUCGGCCGUGGCAACUACUUGGCUUGAGCACUGUAGGGGCGGUGGAAUUCCGGGUGUAGCGGUGGAAUGCGUAGAGAUCCGGAAGAACACCGGUGGCGAAGGCGGCCCGCUGGGCAGGAAGGCUCGCAAGAGCCGGCUGACACUGAGGCGCGACAGCGUGGGAGCAAACAGGAUU
rnacentral:rRNA from 1 species